AUGGAGAAAUACUGGAGUGUUUUACUAUUGGUCCUGUGGCUUCAGGCUAAUUGUGUGAGCAGCCAGCAGAAGGUGCAGCAGAACCCAGAAUCCCUCAGUGUCCCAGAGGGAGCCAUGGCCUCUCUCAACUGCACUUUCAGCGAUAGUGCUUCUCUGAACUUCUGGUGGUACAGACAGCGUCCUGGGAAAGGACCCAAGUUUCUCAUGUCCAUCAUCUCCAAUGGUGAAAAGAAAGAAGGCAGAUUCACAGCUUUCCUCAAUAAAGCCAGCCUGCAUGUUUCUCUGCACAUCAGAGACUCCCAGCCCAGUGACUCAGCUGUCUACCUGUGUGCAGUGAGCACACAGUGCUCCCCAGGCACUUGCAGUCUGCACAAAAACCUAUUGGACCCCAACGAGACCUGA